CACAACCCGUCGAUGGGCUAAGUGGACUUCUUUAAAAGGAAAUAUUUUUACAAACAACCACGCUCGCGUUAGUGAAUCAUAUUCACUAUUCCCUUUGUCCAGUCUAAUCAUUUUUCACACAUACCAGUACAUAACUGCACUCCACAAUGCAUAGCCAUUUUCUAAAAAAUACAGAUGAAAAUGAAAGGCAACGGUCUCUGCACCUAAGCGAUGCCUGUUUUUCCUCAAAAAGAACUGCAUGGGGCAGCAAGAGAACCUCCUCCCCAGACCAAGCAAAAUGCAUGCCGCGCGCAUCCGCACUGCAGCGGCGGACGUCCGAAACCUAACUCCCAAGCGCCAGGGAACUGCACGCCCGUCGACCUCUCAUGUUCCAACCAAACUCUCACGCGCUAAGUAAAUGCAUGCUUAUCAUCCUCUCACGCCCCUGCAUACUGCGCCGACGACCCAACUGACCUGCAGCGAGAGCAAACUGCACUGCUCGCGCCUGGAGGCAGUGAACAGCAAGGUGUCAGCGUCCCCGUCGAACUGCACAAAACAAAAUCUGAAACACACCAAGAAUUCCAUUGCACAGUGAGCACCACCUCGAAUUCCAGCCAAACUACACGGGUGUAGCGACCGAACCGCAUCUCUUCCUGCUCGUCGAAACUGCACAUCAAGAAUGGAAUAGGUAAGCAAAUAAAAAACAAGACGAGAACUGUGCGGCUUUGUUUAUUUGCAAAUACAGUACAUUUUUUACAUGAACUACAAAAGAGAAAAAUGGCAAAAAAACGCACGGGCGUGCUUAGCGGACUGCACACGCGGGAUGGAUUGUGGAGUGCAGGCCGU
rnacentral:lncRNA from 1 species